GAUGAACGCUAGCGGCAGGCCUAAUACAUGCAAGUCGAACGGUAAAUAUUAUAGCAAUAUAGUAUGAGAGUGACGCACGGGUGCGUAACACGUAUGCAACCUACCCUUUACAGGAGUAUAGCUCGGGGAAACUCGAAUUAACCCUUCAUAGUAUAAUUGAAUGGCAUCAUUUGGUUAUUAAAUCUUCGGAGGUAAAGGAU
rnacentral:rRNA from 1 species